rnacentral:rRNA from 1 species
AGCAGUCGCCGCGGUAAUACGGAGGAUCCAAGCGUUAUCCGGAAUCAUUGGGUUUAAAGGGUCCGUAGGCGGUCUUGUAAGUCAGUGGUGAAAGCCCAUCGCUCAACGGUGGAACGGCCAUUGAUACUGCAGGACUUGAAUUAUUGGGAAGUAACUAGAAUAUGUAGUGUAGCGGUGAAAUGCUUAGAGAUUACAUGGAAUACCAAUUGCGAAGGCAGGUUACUACCAAUUGAUUGACGCUGAUGGACGAAAGCGUGGGUAGCGAACAGGAUUAGAUACCCGGGUAGUCCCUGUCUCUUAUAU